rnacentral:rRNA from 1 species
AUUGAACGCUGGCGGCAGGCCUAACACAUGCAAGUCGAGCGGAUGAAGGGAGCUUGCUCCUGGAUUCAGCGGCGGACGGGUGAGUAAUGCCUAGGAAUCUGCCUGGUAGUGGGGGAUAACGUCCGGAAACGGGCGCUAAUACCGCAUACGUCCUGAGGGAGAAAGUGGGGGAUCUUCGGACCUCACGCUAUCAGAUGAGCCUAGGUCGGAUUAGCUAGUUGGUGGGGUAAAGGCCUACCAAGGCGACGAUCCGUAACUGGUCUGAGAGGAUGAUCAGUCACGCUGGAACUGAGACACGGUCCAGACUCCUACGGGAGGCAGCAGUGGGGAAUAUUGGACAAUGGGCGAAAGCCUGAUCCAGCCAUGCCGCGUGUGUGAAGAAGGUCUUCGGGUUGUAAAGCACUUUAAGUUGGGAGGAAGGGCAGUAAGUUAAUACCUUGCUGUUUUGACGUUACCAACAGAAUAAGCACCGGCUAACUUCGUG